UUUUAGCCCUGAUGGGAGCGGCAUCCUUUUGUCACGGGGUUCGGGACAAAAGAUACAGCGGACAGCAGGAUUAGCU
rnacentral:sRNA from 1 species